AUUGAACGCUGGCGGCAGGCUUAACACAUGCAAGUCGAACGAGUGGCGGACGGGUGAGCAAUGUCUGGGAAACUGCCCGAUGGAGGGGGAUAACUACUGGAAACGGUAGCUAAUACCGCAUACCAUCGGAUGUGCCCAGAUGGGAUUAGCUUGUAGGUGAGGUAACGGCUCACCUAUGCGACGAACCCUAGCUGGUCUGAGAGGAUGACCAGCCACACUGGAACUGAGACACGGUCCAGACGCCUACGGGAGGCAGCAGUGGGGAAGAUUGCACAAUGGGCGCAAGCCUGAUGCAGCCAUGCCGCGUGUAUGAAGAAAGCCUUCGGGUUGUAAAGUACUUUCAGCGGGGAGGCGUUACCCGCAGAAGAAGCACCGGCUAACUCCGUGCCAGCAGCCGCGGUAAUUC
rnacentral:rRNA from 1 species